AUUUUAAAAAAAGGUGGGCAGCACCUUUGAUAUGAUACAGAGAAAAUUAGCAUGGCCCCUAUCCAAGGACAACAAGCAAAUUCAUGAAGUGUUCCACGUUUUU
ensembl:snRNA U6 U6 spliceosomal RNA